rnacentral:rRNA from 1 species
UUCCUUUAGAAGAUAUUUGAAGGUAGUACCUGCUCUAUGUAAUGAGAUAUAAAUGGCUGCGGUAAUUUAACUGCACUAAGGUAGCGUAAUUAAUUGUCUUUUAAAUGGUGACUUGUUUGAAUGGUUUUAUGAGAAAAUACAUUUCUUUAAAUUAAAUAGAAUUUAUAUUUUAGGGUCAAAAUACCUAAAUUUAUUAGAAAGACGAGAAGACCCUGUUGAAUUUUACAAUUUUAUAAUUGUUUAAAUGGGAUAUUUAAUCUCUUAAUUAGAUUUUUAAGAUCCUAAAUUUUUUAAUAUUUUUGGAAAAAGGAUAAAAUUACCACAGGGAUAACAGGACAAAUACUCCUUGAGAGUUCUAAUCGAAGGGAGGGAUUGUUACCUCGAUGUUGAAUCGGAGAUCACAUUUUGGUGUAGCAGCUAAAAAAGUAGGUCUGUUCGACCUUUAAAUUUCCACGUGAUU